UCUUUGCAUCUGCUUCCACUGCUACAUAACCAGCUGGAGAGAGACUUUAGAAUCAUCAGUCCUUCUUCACAGGCUGAUCACUAGAUCGGUGAAGACAGAAUUUACAGAGUCUAGAGCACUGCAUCCAGCUCUGGUACCCUAACACAAGGACAUGGUCCUGUUGGAGCAAGCCCAGAGGAGGCCAUGAAGAUGACCAGAGGUGUGGAGCACCUCUCCUAGGAAGACAGACUGAGAGAGCUGGAGUUGUUCAGCCUGGAGAAGAGAAGGCUCUGGAGACACCUCAUAGCACCUUCCAGUAACUGAAGAGGGCUUACAAGAAAUCUGGAGAAGGACUCCCUACAAAGGCAUGUAGUGUGUGGUGCUGCAAGAAUACAGACACACCAGGACAAUGGUGAGAUAACCCACAAGGAGAACUUCAACAUCACCCAUCAUUCUGAGGAACAAAUUGAAGCAGGGCAACACUUUACAGAAACAAGACAGCCUGAGACCAAAAUUUGAAACAUGAGAAAAAUUCUCAUAUUGUGAAAAUAAAUUAAAGAAUAAAAAUUUCCAGAACUAACAUGAUCAAGAAAUUAUCAGCAGCUAAGGAAAAAAAAAUUAUAACAGUGACUCAGUAAUAUAAAAUGUAAAAAUAACUUAUCUUUCCAAUACAAUAAUGACUCAGAAUGAAAUAAACUAUCAACUCCA